UCUGUAUCUAAAGGCAUUGCAGAUGUGGCUACUAUGUCAUAUGUAUAUAAGUAGGUGGCAGAGAGAAGAGAGGGCAUGCCUAUGUUCAUUGUUUUGACCUAUGAACAUCUAAACGAUUACUAGCCUAACAUU